AGAAUCAACGCUGGCGGCGUGCCUAACACAUGCAAGUCGAACGAGAAAGGGUAGCAAUACCUGAGUAAAGUGGCGCACGGGUGAGUAACACGUGACUAACCUACCCUGGAGUGGGGGAUAACUGAGGGAAACCUUAGCUAAUACCGCAUAACACCUACGGGUCAAAGGAGCAAUUCGCUUCAGGAGGGGGUCGCGGCCGAUUAGUUAGUUGGCGGGGUAAUGGCCCACCAAGACAGUGAUCGGUAU
rnacentral:rRNA from 1 species